UACGGAGGGUGCAAACGUUGCUCGGAAUCAUUGGGCGUAAAGCGCACGUAGGCGGCUCGUUAAGUCGGAUGUGAAAGCCCUGGGCUCAACCCAGGAAGUGCAUACGAAACUGGCGAGCUUGAGUAUGGAAGAGGGUCGCGGAAUUCCCGGUGUAGAGGUGAAAUUCGUAGAUAUCGGGAGGAACACCAGUGGCGAAGGCGGCGACCUGGGCAGAUACUGACACUGAGGUGCGAAAGCGUGGGGAGCAAACAGG
rnacentral:rRNA from 1 species